UGGGGAAUAUUGGACAAUGGGCGAAAGCCUGAUCCAGCAAUGCCGCGUGUGUGAAGAAGGCCUGAGGGUUGUAAAGCACUUUCAGCGGGGAGGAAGGACUUGCGGAUAAUACCCGUGAGUAUUGACGUUACCCAAAGAAGAAGCACCGGCUAACUCUGUGCCAGCAGCCGCGGUAAUACAGAGGGUGCAAGCGUUAAUCGGAAUUAUUGGGCGUAAAGAGUGCGUAGGUGGUUUAGUUAGUCGGAUGUGAAAGCCCUGGGCUCAACCUGGGAAUGGCAUCCGAUACUGCUAGGCUAGAGUAUGGGAGAGGGAAGUGGAAUUUCCGGUGUAGCGGUGAAAUGCGUAGAUAUCGGAAGGAACACCAGUGGCGAAGGCGACUUCCUGGCCUAAUACUGACACUGAGGCACGAAAGCGUGGGGAGCAAACAGG
rnacentral:rRNA from 1 species